UCGAGGGGCAGCAUGAGGUAGCAAUACCUUGAUGGCGACCGGCGCACGGGUGAGUAACGCGUAUGCAACCUGCCUGAUACCGGGGUAUAGCCCAUGGAAACGUGGAUUAACACCCCAUAGUACUUUUAUCCUGCCUGGGAUGGGAGUUAAAUGUUUAAGGUAUCGGAUGGGCAUGCGUCCUAUUAGUUAGUUGGCGGGGUAACAGCCCACCAAGACGAUGAUAGGUAGGGGUUCUGAGAGGAAGGUCCCCCACAUUGGAACUGAGACACGGUCCAAACUCCUACGGGAGGCAGCAGUGAGGAAUAUUGGUCAAUGGACGUAAGUCUGAACCAGCCAAGUCGCGUGAGGGAAGACUGCCCUAUGGGUUGUAAACCUCUUUUAUAAGGGAAGAAUAAGUUCUACUGUAAUGAUGCCUGUACUGAUAAGCAUCGGCUAUCUGCCAGCAGCCGCGGUAAUACGGAGGAUGCGAGCGUUAUCCGGAUUUAUUGGGUUUAAAGGGUGCGUAGGCGGUUUAUUAAGUUAGUGGUUAAAUAUUUGAGCUAAACUCAAUUGUGCCAUUAAUACUGGUAAACUGGAGUACAGACGAGGUAGGCGGAAUAAGUUAAGUAGCGGUGAAAUGCAUAGAUAUAACUUAAACUCCGAUAGCGAAGGCAGCUUACCAGACUGUAACUGACGUGAUGCACGAGAGCGUGGGUAGCGAACAGGAUUAGAUACCCUGGUAGUCCACGCCGUAAACGAUGCUCACUGGUUCUGUGCGAUAUAUUGUACGGGAUUAAGCGAAAGUAUUAAGUGAGCCACCUGGGGAGUACGUCGGCAACGAUGAAACUCAAAGGAAUUGACGGGGGCCCGCACAAGCGGAGGAACAUGUGGUUUAAUUCGAUGAUACGCGAGGAACCUUACCUGGGUUUAAAUGGGAAAUGCCGUAUUUGGAAACAGAUAUUCUCUUCGGAGCGUUUUUCAAGGUGCUGCAUGGUUGUCGUCAGCUCGUGCCGUGAGGUGUCGGGUUAAGUCCCAUAACGAGCGCAACCCUUACCGUUAGUUGCUAGCAUGUAAUGAUGAGCACUCUAACGGGACUGCCACCGUAAGGUGAGAGGAAGGCGGGGAUGACGUCAAAUCAGCACGGCCCUUACACCCAGGGCUACACACGUGUUACAAUGGCCGGUACAGAGGGCCGCUACCAGGUGACUGGAUGCCAAUCUCAAAAGCCGGUCGUAGUUCGGAUUGGAGUCUGUAACCCGACUCCAUGAAGUUGGAUUCGCUAGUAAUCGCGCAUCAGCCAUGGCGCGGUGAAUACGUUCCCGGGCCUUGUACACACCGCCCGUCAAGCCAUGGAAGCCGGGGGUGCCUGAAGUCCGUAACCGCGAGGAU
rnacentral:rRNA from 2 species